GGAGUCAGCGCGCCCACGUGACGGCCCCGGCUCUCCGGUGAGCUCCCCAAACAGACGCACACCCAGCCACACGCGCGCGCUCGCGCUCGCGCGCGCGCACACACACACACACCACACACAUACACACACACGCACGCACCCCCGCGCGCACACGCCCGCCCGCCCGCUCGCGCUGCCUCUGCGCCUCCAUCCCGGCUAGCUCAUUAUCUCGCCCUCUCGCUUCCCCUGCGGUCUCUCGCUCUGCGCGCACACACCUCACACACGCACACGCACACACACGCGCGCACACACGCAGCCGGCACAGGCGGCGGCGGCGGCGGCUGCCCAAGUCAGGACGAACCUCUCUAGGUACCGUCUUGAGAAGGCGGCAGCGGCGGCGGCGGCGGCGGCGGCGGCGGCGGCGGCAGCCCGAGCAUCCCUCCUCUCCCGGAGAGGGAGCACCGCCGAGAGUUUCCGUUCCCUUUGCCAUUCCCUUCCCCCUCCUUUUCUUUAUUUUCGAGAGAAUUUCUUCUUGGUUUAUUGGUUUAAUUUGAUUUUUAAAAUUUUGGGUUGCUUUUGUGUAUGUGUGCUUUUUUUUUUCUUUCCUCAUUUUAUUUGCAUCCAGAGCAUGGCGGGCUGCGGGCUGUCGGAAGACACCCUCUUCUCUUCCUUCUUUUACAACUACGGCUCCUCCUGGGAAACCCCUUCCAACCAGCCCAGCGGGAACCCGAGAAAGAGGCAGGAGCCGGCGCGUUACCCCGAACAACUCCAGGCAGAACCAGGGAACUCGAGCGCAACCUUCCCCAAGUCGCCGCGGGCGCCGCGCCCCUGUGCGCCCGGCGCCUACCCGCCUUCCAGUUGCGCCGAGGGGCUGCAGAGCCACGAGCUCCCCGCGACGUGCUGUCCCCACUCCACUCCCCUCGGGGCCCGAGCCGCCUCUUUCCCUAAAAUGGCUGCAAUCUCAAGUAGAGGCGUCCCCUGACCCGCGGAGGUGGGGGGGGGGUGGGGUGCAGAGUGGAGGCUCCGCUCCUGACCCCGCGCCUCCCCCGGGGCGCACAAGCACCCCACAAACACACACACUUAACUUUGAUGACUGUGCAAUGCAGUCCGGCUGCAUCGUGCCCUAGACGCUCCACGCCGCCGGCCUGUAGGUGUGCGUGUCGGUGUGACUCGGGGGGCCCAGGAAAACUGGGGGUAGACGCCGGAAGGGGGGCGUGGAAGGAAAUGGGUGUCAGCGGGCCACUGGUAAUCUGGAGAGACAGGCAUGUGCUCAGGGGUCCAGGGGUGAAAAAGCUAUUCUGGGAGCUGGAGCGAGAAAUAGAGGAAAAAUGCCUUUUAAUUAAAUAACUGUUGUAGUCUGCUGCCCCCACCGCUUGUUUGGUGAAAGUCUACAGGCAUCUGUCAUCUCCAAACUACACGGGGAAGUAGAGCUGGGGUCGAGGGAGCGGAGGCAUGUGUGUACGUGUGUGCGCGUGUGUGUGUGUGCACGCGGGUGUGUGUCUGUGUGUGUGUGCGCGCGCGCUCGCGUGUCUGGGCUGGGGAAAGUUGGGGCCAGAGGCGCGGUGGAGAAGCAACGGUGAAAGGCAUUAGCAACUCGGUGGGCGGUCCAGGGCGCCGGGGAUUCCCGGGCCCCGCGGAGCGCGCACCGCGGGGGGAGCUGGCCCGCUAGGGGUGGGGGGUGUCGAGGAAAAGAGCUCCGUUCAGCCGGGCUCGCCUGGCCGCCGCGGCGCCUCUCCUCCGGAUCCCGCCAGCCAGCCUUGGCCGCUUGCGGGGUUGCCCGCC
rnacentral:lncRNA from 1 species